rnacentral:rRNA from 1 species
AUUGAACGCUGGCGGCAGGCUUAACACAUGCAAGUCGAGCGAGCGGCGGACGGGUGAGUAAUGUCUGGGAAACUGCCUGAUGGCGGGGGAUAACUACUGGAAAAGGUAGCUAAUACCGCAUACAAUCAGAUGUGCCCAGAUGGGAUUAGCUAGUAGGUGGGGUAAUGGCUCACCUAGGCAACGAUCCCUAGCUGGUCUGAGAGGAUGACAAGCCACACUGGAACUGAGACACGGUCCAGACGCCUACGGGAGGCAGCAGUGGGGAAUAUUGCACAAUGGGCGAAAGCCUGAUGCAGCCAUGCCGCGAGUGUGAGGAAGGCCUUCGGGUUGUAAAGCACUGUCGGCGAGGAUGCGUUACUCGCAGAAGAAGCACCGGCUAACUCCGUGCCAGCAGCCGCGGUAAUAC